rnacentral:rRNA from 1 species
UACAGAGGGUGCUAGCGUUGUUCGGAAUUAUUGGGCGUAAAGAGCGUGUAGGCGGUCCGGUAAGUCAGCUGUGAAAGUCAAGGGCUCAACCCUUGAAUGCCGGUUGAUACUGUCGGGCUAGAGUCCGGAAGAGGCGAGUGGAAUUCCCGGUGUAGCGGUGAAAUGCGCAGAUAUCGGGAGGAACACCAAUGGCGAAGGCAGCUCGCUGGGACGGUACUGACGCUGAGACGCGAAAGCGUGGGGAGCAAACAGGG